AUUGAACGCUGGCGGCAGGCUUAACACAUGCAAGUCGAGCGGGGGAAGGUAGCUUGCACCUUAUCUUAGCGGCGGACGGGUGAGUAAUGCUUAGGAAUCUGCCUAUUAGUGGGGGACAACAUUCCGAAAGGAAUGCUAAUACCGCAUACGUCCUACGGGAGAAAGCAGGGGAUCUUCGGACCUUGCGCUAAUAGAUGAGCCUAAGUCGGAUUAGCUAGUUGGUGGGGUAAAGGCCUACCAAGGCGACGAUCUGUAGCGGGUCUGAGAGGAUGAUCCGCCACACUGGGACUGAGACACGGCCCAGACUCCUACGGGAGGCAGCAGUGGGGAAUAUUGGACAAUGGGGGGAACCCUGAUCCAGCCAUGCCGCGUGUGUGAAGAAGGCCUUAUGGUUGUAAAGCACUUUAAGCGAGGAGGAGGCUACUGAGACUAAUACUCUUGGAUAGUGGACGUUACUCGCAGAAUAAGCACCGGCUAACUCUGUGCCAGCCGCCGCAGUAA
rnacentral:rRNA from 1 species